UACGUAGGGUGCGAGCGUUGUCCGGAAUUAUUGGGCGUAAAGAGCUUGUAGGCGGUUUGUCGCGUCUGCUGUGAAAAUCCGGGGCUCAACCCCGGACUUGCAGUGGGUACGGGCAGACUAGAGUGUGGUAGGGGAGACUGGAAUUCCUGGUGUAGCGGUGAAAUGCGCAGAUAUCAGGAGGAAUACCGAAGGCGAAGGCAGUCUUCCAAGCCGUUAUUGACGCUCAACUGCGAAGGUGUGGGUAUCAAACAGGAUUAGAUACCCGGGUAGGUCCCUGA
rnacentral:rRNA from 1 species